rnacentral:miRNA from 8 species
AGGCAGGGGCUGGGCUUGCAGC